rnacentral:lncRNA from 1 species
UCUCACAACUCUCUAACCUCUAUCUUUGUCUGCAUAUUAAUAUUCAUACACACAAAAGAAAAGGUCUCUCUCGGUUACUGUGACAACCCAAGUUUCCAGGUCCUCGCUAGACACGUUACUUGUUUCAUAGCUGUGUUUUCACAAUCCGUGGCGUCGUAAUACAUGCACCCUUGAUAAUGGAUUGAUUACUAGACUGUUUAAUUGUUUGGUUUAAUUGUCAAAAUUCAUAUAUGUGUCAAAGUUAUAACACAACCUGUGCAACCUUAUACCCACUCGACGAAACUUAGAAGUUCGCUAUAACCGUACUCGACAAAACCCUUGGCGUUUCGUCGGAGUCUUGUUUCGCCAGUCAGGGUCUCGGCCCAGUUAGUCUGCGGCCCAGAUCCUUAAUUAUAUAUGCAAACUCUUGUUACGUAAGACAAACCCUAAUUCUCUCACUAGUUUUGGCGACGGCUGUGGACACCCCCUUCCCCAACGGCUCAACCUCCGAUUCAACGAACAUCUUGUCUAGUCAAGCUCUAGGUGAGUGGAUUUAUGUUUCGUAAUUCUUAGUUCAUGGUUAAGGAUAUUGUCAUAUGCGAUUUGGAUUAACAAAAGUAAUCUAA